GCAGGCCAGGAGACUGCUGGACCUCUAUCUCUUCUCAGUGGUCCUUAAACCUCCUGGUGGAGUAUGUCCCAACUCUGUCUUUGAUUAGUAAAUGACUGCAUGUUGCCAAAGGAGGGACCUAGUCCAUGUACAUGUCUAUUUUUACAGAUCAUAUGGGUAUAAGCACUUAUAGGGUCUUAACACGUCAUUCGUUUGUUCAUCAUCUGUGAUCAGGAGCCUGAGGUCUCCCAUCUCAGCUCUGGACACCCUAGAUGUCCCCAUGGUGUGUGUUGUCACAGACAAAGCCUGCUCUGACUUUGUGCCCUGGCAGUGGUAACAUUCUGAGGUUGUUACAGAGCCCAUCUGUAUUAACGCUUUGUGUAAAAUAGCUGCUUUUGUGUCUCUUUCCUUCCUUGGGUAAGAACUCCAGGUUUUCUAUAGCUGCCCUCUCAGUACACAUUUUACCAGUCUUAUCAGUGAUAUAAACAGGGAAUUGAGUUUUCUACAAGCUUAUUCCUUCAUGGUCUGAACUCUUACUUUAAAAACAUUCAUAUUCAAAGACUUCGUGGUCAUAUAUUGGAUAGGUUUUCUAGCCAAGCAUUUUGCUGGAUUGGUCAAGGCACAGCUGUGAGCUGCCAUAGUCCUGUCAGGCGGCUCCCCAUGGGGCCCAUGUGUCUGAAUGUUGCCUGUCGCCAACGUGUCACUGCUGGUGAUUGGGAAGCCUCACUGGAGCCAACACUCCUCUGCUUCCAGCCGAGGGGUGAGGCCCCGCCAAGGCCUAAUGGAUGCUUUCCAAGCCCCGAACCAUUUCUCUGCAUUUUCAUGGCGGGGGGGGCCCCUCCCCGCUCCAUCCUUGUCACCUGGCUUUGGGCACAGUGUGUGCUUUACUGCUUCACGUGGGCCUUCCUUGUCUACCUGACAAUGAAAUUUGGGACCCUGUUCCCGGACCUGCCUUUCUCCUCCAGCACUUGUAGAACACACAUCAAGAGUUCCCAUGGUGGGAGUUCCCGUCGUGGCGCAGUGGUUAACAUAUCCGACUAGGAACCAUGAGGUUGUGGGUUCAGUCCCUGCGCUUGCUCAGUGGGUUAACGAUCCGGUGUUGCCGUGAGCUGUGGUGUAGGUUGCAGACGUGGCUCAGAUCCCAUGUUGCUGUGGCUCUGGUGUAGGCCGGUGGCUACAGUUCCGAUUCAACCCCUAGCCUGGGAACCUCCAUAUGCCGCGGGAGCGGCCCAAAGAAAUAGCAAAAAGACAAAAAAAAAAAAAAAAAAAAAAAAAAA
rnacentral:lncRNA from 1 species